rnacentral:rRNA from 1 species
CCUACGGGAGGCAGCAGUGAGGAAUAUUGGUCAAUGGACGAGAGUCUGAACCAGCCAAGUAGCGUGAAGGAUGACUGCCCUACGGGUUGUAAACUUCUUUUAUAGGGGAAUAAAGUAGGGUCUGCAUGCCUUUUUGUAUGUACUUUAUGAAUAAGGAUCGGCUAACUCCGUGCCAGCACCCGCGGUAAUACGGAGGAUCCGAGCGUUAUCCGGAUUUAUUGGGUUUAAAGGGAGCGUAGGUGGGUUGUUAAGUCAGUUGUGAAAGUUUGCGGCUCAACCGUAAAAUUGCAAUUGAUACUGGCAGCCUUGAGUACAGUUGAGGGAGGCGGAAUUCGUGGUGUAGCGGUGAAAUGCUUAGAGAUCACGAAGAACUCCGAUUGCGAAGGCAGCUCACUAAACUGCCACUGACAUUGAUGCUCGAAAGUGUGGGUAUCAAACAGGAUUAGAUACCCUAGUAGUC